UUAGUGCAUUUCAAGCAUUUAGCACGGUGUCCACUCUCUUAUUGAAGUAGUUUUCAUCUGAUCUUCAACAAAUGUGGUCAGAAGUUGUAUCUAGACAAUAUCUAGUUCAAGUUCAAAUAUGGGUCAUGCUGGGUCAAAAACUAGUUCACAGGGUGCAUUUCAAGGAUUUAGCAUGGUGUAAGCUCUUUAAUUGAAAGAGUUUUCAUCCGAUCUUCACCAAAUUUGGGCAGAAGUUGUGUCUUAAUGAUAUCUAAGUCAAGUUCAGAUAUAGGUCAUGCCGGGUCGAAAACUAGGUCACUUAGUGCAUUUUUAGCGUUUAGCAUGGUGUCCAAAACCUUCAAACGGGUGUAUCUUGUGACAGUUUAGCACUCUUGUUUAUUACUUUAAAGCCACACACCUUGAAAUGAAAUACAUGUUACUCAGUACAUAUAGAUGCAAUUUGAAAGUGUGCAAAAUUGUCAUUAAAUCUAUAGCCUAGUUAGCAAGUAAUUUAUUUUUUUAUAUUUUAAAACUGAAUGUAUGAUUUGUAUACGUACAUGUUCAAUUCGAGAAACACAAUUAUUUUUAAGUUUUAAAGCACAAGAAAGACGGAUUUCUACCUUGCAACCACCAGAUAUAUUCUAAUUGGCAAAGAUAAAAUAUGUUUCUUAUUUAUAUCCAAAUUUACUAUGCCAGAUAUUUCAUUUCAAGGUGUGUGGCUUUAAGGAAUGUUUUUUAAAUGGGUAUAUUACCAAGAUCUGCACAGCCAGGGUGAUAUUAACCUUCAGAUGUUAAAGCUUUCUAAUAAUUUUAAGGCUUGCCUUUUAUACUUGAAAUGAUAAAUCAUUAACAUGUUUUGUUCUUUAGGAACAUACAAACAUUUCCCACCCACCAUGUGGAUCAAGAUGUUUGGGCUGAUGAUUCUGGGUCGUAUGUGUGGACAAGGUGGUCUUCAUUACAUCAUGAUGCAGCUGUGUAUUCAACAACAUGUUAACCUGUCCCAGCGGAUGUUGAUGCUCUUAAAUGAUGUUGAGAACAAUCCAGGACCGGAGUAUUCGUGCAAAUGGAUAUCCUGCAAGGAAGACUUCCACUCCAUAGGACAGCAAGAUGCACAUAUCAUCUCUCAUGUGGUUCAAGAGAAAUGCUGUAGAUGGGGAGACUGUACCAAAGUCCUGAGCUUUAAUAGUCUUGAAAUCCAUGAACUUAAACAUCUCUAUGAUGUGAGUUUAGCACUGUGUAUGAACUGGUGUUGCUUCAUUUUCUGCAUAUCUUUAUCUCAGUCUUCUCUAGUUUUGAUGGUCAAAUACAUAUUGUCUGCCAGUUUUUUUCCCCCAAUACUGCCGUUCAUCGUUUGCUUGCAUCAAGAGUUUUAAAAGAAAUUAAAACUCAUUUGUUUAGUUAGAAUCUUAUGAAAGACUUAAAUGGCCAUGUUUAAUACAAUUGUAUAACAACAUAUACGAGCUAAAAAAAUAGUUGGAAUAAUUAAUGUAUAUAUGAACAUAACAAAUUUACUUAAAAUCA